AUUAGUAGUUUUAGUCUCAGAGAACCAGACGCUGUGACCGAUAAGACCCAAUCAGGCGGUGAAACGUUGGCGUCGCUGUUGCCAAAGGUCUCUGUU